rnacentral:rRNA from 1 species
AGUAGGGAAUUUUUCACAAUGGACGAAAGUCUGAUGAAGCAAUGCCGCGUGAGUGAUGACGGCCUUCGGGUUGUAAAGCUCUGUUGUAAGGGAAGAAAAAAUAAAGUAGGAAAUGACUUUAUCUUGACAGUACCUUACCAGAAAGCCACGGCUAACUAUGUGCCAGCAGCCGCGGUAAUACAUAGGUGGCAAGCGUUAUCCGGAUUUAUUGGGCGUAUAGGGUGCGUAGGCGGUUUUGCAAGUUUGAGGUUAAAGUCCGGAGCUCAACUCCGGUUCGCCUUGAAAACUGUAUUACUAGAAUGCAAGAGAGGUAAGCGGAAUUCCAUGUGUAGCGGUGAAAUGCGUAGAUAUAUGGAAGAACACCUGUGGCGAAAGCGGCUUACUGGCUUGUUAUUGACGCUGAGGCACGAAAGCGUGGGGAGCAAAUAGGAUUAGAUACCCUAGUAGUCCACGCCGUAAACGAUGAGUACUAAGUGUUGGGGUAACUCAGCGCUGCAGCUAACGCAUUAAGUACUCCGCCUGAGUAGUAUGCUCGCAAGAGUGAAA